CCUGGGGAGUACGGUCGCAAGAUUAAAACUCAAAGGAAUUGACGGGGACCCGCACAAGCGGUGGAUGACGUGGAUUAAUUCGAUGCAACGCGAAAAACCUUACCUACCCUUGACAUGGAAGGAAUCCUGAAGAGAUUUAGGAGUGCUCGAAAGAGAACCUUCACACAGGUGCUGCAUGGCUGUCGUCAGCUCGUGUCGUGAGAUGUUGGGUUAAGUCCCGCAACGAGCGCAACCCUAGUCAUUAGUUGCUACAUUCAGUUGAGCACUCUAAUGAGACUGCCGGUGACAAACCGGAGGAAGGUGGGGAUGACGUCAAGUCCUCAUGGCCCUUAUGGGUAGGGCUUCACACGUCAUACAAUGGUACAUACAGAGGGCCGCCAACCCGCGAGGGGGAGCUAAUCCCAGAAAGUGUAUCGUAGUCCGGAUUGUAGUCUGCAACUCGACUACAUGAAGUUGGAAUCGCUAGUAAUCGCGGAUCAGCAUGUCGCGGUGAAUACGUUCCCGGGUCUUGUACUCACCGCCCGUCA
rnacentral:rRNA from 1 species